UACGUAGGGGGCAAGCGUUGUCCGGAUUUAUUGGGCGUAAAGAGCGUGUAGGCGGUUCGGUAGGUCCGUUGUGAAAACUCGAGCUCAACCUCGAGACGCCGAUGGAAACCCUCGAACUAGAGUCCGGAAGAGGGUCGUGGAAUUCCCAGUGUAGAGGUGAAAUUCGUAGAUAUUGGGAAGAACACCGGUGGCGAAGGCGGCUCACUGGCUCAUACUGACGCUCAGGCGCGACAGCGUGGGGAUCAAACAGG
rnacentral:rRNA from 1 species